UAGCACAUUAUCUUUCAGACAACAAUUUAGGGCUCAUGUUUUUGUACAGAAAUUUAUUUAUUGAGUCGCAUUAAGUGAAGUUAAUUGUUAUGAUAGAAAAAGCAGCUAUAAUUAUAACAUUCAAUAUGUUAUUCUGUAAUCAUUACUCCAUCGCAGUGCUGGUGAUUUCAUAAGUAUCUCUAGCCAGAGGCGUCGCGAGGCGGGGGCAGGGGGUGCACAUCGCACCGGGUGACACCAUUUAAAGGGGUGAUACCAA